ACAAAAUGGCGGACGAAUCACGUUAAAAUUUCUGAAUCCACUUUAAGACGUUCUUCUAUUCGUUAGCUUGCCUCGUUUAUGGUAUUUUCCUGCCGUGUAUCAAACUAUAGCUGCUUGUGAUGGAAGAAAACAGAAGAAAAAAGAAAAGUUACUCUAAAGAGAGAAAGGAUUUCAAAGAAGAGGCUGCAACAUGUGCUGAGGAAGAAGAAGAAGUUAACGUUAAAAAAGUCAAAAAGAGAAAGUUGAAAGCCAAGGACGACGUGAAUACAGAAAGCGAGGACAUUAAAUACAAAGAGAAGAAGAAUAAGAAAGAAAAGAAUGGUCGUGUAUCAGAAAAUCUUACAAACAAAAUCAGUGAUGAAAGCCAGAGUAUUGAAGUUGAAGAGAAAAAGAAAAAGAGAAAAAGUAAGAAAGAAAAUAACAGUAUUGAGGAUCAGGACACUGAAAAUGAUAAUGGGAAGAAGAAACGGAAAGAAAAUCCUCUUGAUUCAGACACUGGGAUUGAAAAGAAAAAGAAACAAAAAUCUAAAAAAUUUAAGUCCAAAGAAGAUAAUGUUUUAUGUUUUGACACAGAAGAAGGUUUAAAAAAUAUUACAAUUGAUAAAAAUGGUGAAUUAGCUGAUGAUAUGGCAGAGAAAAUCAAGGCUAAAGAAGAAGAAAAAUCAAAGAAAGCAAAAAGAAAUGAGGAUGAACAUUUAUCAAAAAACGACGAGGCACUAGAAGAGGACGAAACUGCAGUUAAAAAGAAAAAGAAGGAAAAAAAGAAGAAAGAUGAGAUAAAAAGUGCUGAGACUGAAAACACUGAUGCUCCAGACAAGAAAAGUUCAGGCGAUGAAGCUUUGCUAUAUCUUAGAAUGUGGAACGAAGACCGCCCUAAUUGGGCUUUUAAGAAAGUUCGGCAAGUUUGGCUUUUAAAACACAUGUUUGAUAAGACCAAGGUUCCAGAUAGUGACUUUGAAGUGCUUCUGUUAUAUCUAGAAGGACUACAAGGAAAUGCUAGAAAGACAACCAUUACUAGAGCUGAGGCUGUACUUGAGUCAGGGUAUGACGAAGAGAAACCUGAAGGAUUUGACUUGGAAAGAGUUAGAAAACUCUUACAGAUUCUCAACUAAAUACCUGGUAAUUUUGCAUACUGUAACCAUUUCUCGCACAUUAUUUUACUUCAUGCAUACUCUGAUUGGUUGAUAGCUAUGCUGUAUUGUAAAGAGUUCAAAUUUUCUUACAGAUUCUCAACUAAAUACCUGCAUUUUGGAAAAGAUCUUGAGAUUCAGUUGGUGGAGCGGGAGCAGACACGUCAGUUACUUCGCCAGGCAC